UCUCUUUAUUUAUUUAUUUAUUUCACCUGCUCAGAGCCUUAGGGGAAAGAGCUAUUAAUUUGCAAAUCAUCUGAUCUGUGAAGGGAUCAAGAUGCCUGCUUUUCACCGCUAAAUCCAAUGUCUUGAGUGGACACCCAGAUGCACACACAAGCCUGUCAAGCUGUGAAUCCCGGGACUGUAGAAAGGAAAGAGCAAGGUGUAGCUGAUUAGCAAGUUAAUUAUUUCAGUACCCCAAGGGUUCCUGUGUGGUGGAGACAGCCCAAGGCACCUAGAUUUGGAGAACCAACUUCCUGACAGUGUGAAGAUGAUAUGUGCAGGCGGUAGUGUUGGCCUCCAGGAAACAACUCUGAGGACAAUGGCUUCUGUGCUGGUGGCAGCAAAUUAGGGAGUGGAGGGGUCAAUCACUAUUUAGACUUGGCUGUCCUGACCUAAUGGGCCUGAGAGGAAUUAGUGAGAGCAAAAAGGGCUUCAGGAAGGAAGGUGUAGGCUGAGCCAAAUGAAAU